ensembl:snRNA U2 U2 spliceosomal RNA
AUCACUUCUCGGCCUUUUGGCUAAGAUCAAGUGUAGUAUCCACUGGCUCUAAACAUAUAUUUUCUCCAGAAUAUUUGUAUGUGAAUGUUCACAGUAUUAUUAUGGAAACAACCCAGAUGUCCAUCAACUGAUGAAUAAAU